AGCGAACGCUGGCGGCAGGCCUAAUACAUGCAAGUCGAACGCCCCUUCGGGGGAGUGGCGGACGGGUGAGUAACGCGUGGGAAUAUGCCCUAUGGUGCGGAACAACUGAGGGAAACUUCAGCUAAUACCGCAUGUGCCCUACGGGGGAAAGAUUUAUCGCCAUAGGAGUAGCCCGCGUUGGAUUAGCUAGUUGGUGGGGUAAUGGCUCACCAAGGCUACGAUCCAUAGCCGGUCUGAGAGGAUGAUCAGCCACACUGGGACUGAGACACGGCCCAGACUCCUACGGGAGGCAGCAGUAGGGAAUCUUGCGCAAUGGGCGAAAGCCUGACGCAGCCAUGCCGCGUGAAUGAUGAAGGUCUUAGGAUUGUAAAAUUCUUUCACCGGGGACGAUAAUGACGGUACCCGGAGAAGAAGCUCCGGCUAACUUCGUGCCAGCCGCCGCCGUAACAC
rnacentral:rRNA from 1 species